rnacentral:rRNA from 1 species
UACGGAGGGUGCAAACGUUGCUCGGAAUCAUUGGGCGUAAAGCGCACGUAGGCGGCCUGUUAAGUCGGGUGUGAAAGCCCUGGGCUCAACCCAGGAAGUGCACUCGAAACUGGCAGGCUUGAAUAUGGAAGAGGGUCGCGGAAUUCCCGGUGUAGAGGUGAAAUGCGUAGAGAUCAGGCGGAACACCCGUAGCGAAGGCGGCCAGCUGGGCCGUCCCUGACACUGAGGCGCGAAGGCGUGGGGAGCGAACGGGG